rnacentral:rRNA from 1 species
UACGAAGGGGGCUAGGCGUUGUCCGGAAUCACUGGGCGUAAAAGGGCGCGUAGGUGGGCGGCCCAAGUUCUAUGGUGAAAAGCUCGAUGCUCAACAUCGAGUCGGCCACGGAUACUGGGUUUGCUCGAGCACUGUAGGGGGCAGAUGGAAUUUCCGGGUGUAGCGGUGGAAUGCGUAGAGAUCCGGAAGAACACCGGUGGCG